rnacentral:rRNA from 1 species
UACGUAGGGAGCAAGCGUUGUCCGGAAUCAUUGGGCGUAAAGCGCGCGUAGGUGGCCCCAUAAGUCCGCUGUGAAAGUCAAAGGCUCAACCUUUGAAAGCCGGUGGAUACUGUGGGACUAGAGUACGGAAGAGGCGAGUGGAAUUCCUGGUGUAGCGGUGGAAUGCGCAGAUAUCAGGAGGAACACCGAUAGCGAAGGCAGCUCGCUGGGACAGUACUGACGCUAAGGCGCGAAAGCGUGGGGAGCGAACAGG